AGAAAAAAGAGGCUUUUAGCUUUGCGGGGGUCAAGUAAUCAUUUAUGGAAGGAGAAAGAUGACCCCCCCUGCACCUCUGCUAGCAAGGACAACCAAGGACUUCAUUAAAGUAAAAGGCUGGGGGGGGGGAGUAGGGAGAAAAAGAAGGGGAAAAAAAAUAGAACUCUACCAAGGGAAUAAAUAAUUUUGCAGACUGAAUGAACUGGAUACAAGAUGGCCUUCAGCGUUGUUAAUAUGAAGAGGAUUGGGGCAUCCCUUAAAAUGGAGAAAAUUUUGAAAAAUAGCUUCGUAAUGAACGAAACUGAGACACUCUCAGCCUAAUCUAUUUCCCAGGUGGUUAUGGCGACAAAUGAAGGCUGGUUUGAAAGUCACGCCAGAAGUUCUUCAGGAACCAUACGAAAAAGCAUUUUCAGUGAUGGCUCCAUGCUGCUCUUUAGAAGAGGUGACCCUCACUGCCUGCAUCAAAACAUUGUCAAAAAAAAGCACCUGUUCAAGCUUUUCCCAGCCUAGCACAUUUCACUAAAGAACAUGACGGCUGUUUCCGAUGGUUAUUUUAUUGAUGACUUGUGACAUUUUUGGUCUUUGGCUGUUAGCUGCCCUGGGAACUGUACGUGUUUGCGAGGUACACAUUUAAUACAUUUUAAAAAAAGAAGAAGAAGAAGAUAAGUCAGAUUCUGGCUACCUUCACCUCUAUGGACCCAUGGGAGAAUGAAGAGUAGAACUUCAUUCAAGGUCACCUGCUUAUAAGAAUCUGCCAAUCCUAGGGCUGAUACAAAGUCAGAAAUUUGUGCUUUCAUCUCCAUGGUGCCUCAAGGCAUUCUUGAUCAUGUCUGAAGCAAAGUGGAAUAAUUGAAGCACUGAUCCAAGUACACAGCUAACUCAAUCCUGCCUUAAUAUUACAAAUGAGGCUUCGAGGGAGGGGAAUGGAUCUGCCGAUUUGCCUUUAAUCUCCCACUGGAAGCCCACCUGUAAAUUUAAUCAGUCAUGUACUGGCUAACAAUCCUCUCUUAAUUAAUAUUAAACAAGUCUAUCAAUUCAGUUUUCACACUGAAUGGAGGCUGUCACACGCAAUCUGUAUUAGAGAGGACUUGUUAUUCAAGCAGGUAUUUCCAUUUACUUCUAUAUGAGAAUCUGGAACAGGAAGGAAAUUUGCAGAUUAGCACCCAAAAAAGGAACAAAGGAUUGAUCAGGCAAUAAACUCUUGAGUAUGCUUCUGAAUUUAAAUUAAAUUUAGACUCCAUCCUUCCAUCAAAGCCAGCACUCAAGGUAGCUUCCAAUAAAAUGCAAAUGAAAGAAAGACAUUCUAAUUGCAACAUUAAAAUUCAACAAUUAAUCUUCAUCAUGAAAUAUGAAAUAAAGGGAACCACCAAUAAUGGACAUUUUCUAGAGUAGCAGCAAUUUAGCUGUCUGUAAUGCAAAAAAGACAAAAGACUUGCUUAUAGAAGAGGGACUUGCAAUAAUAUUUAGCAUUUGGGCUUAUAUACUGCCCCAUAGCCCUUUACAGCAUUCUCUGGGUGAUUUACAAUGAAGAAGCAUUUUUUUCCCUUCAUAUUGUUCCCAUCUAUCAGCCAUAGUGGUGCAGUGGUUAGAAUGCAGCACUGCAGGCUACUUCUGCUGGCUGCCUGCAAUUUGGCAGUUCAAAUCUAACCAGGCUCAAGUUUGACUCAGCCUUCCAUCCUUCUUCUGAGGUCGGUAAAAUGAGGGCCCAGAUUGUU